rnacentral:rRNA from 1 species
AUAGUUUGAUCCUGGUCAUAAGUGUUCGCUGGCGGCGUGCCUAACACAUGCAAGUCGAACGAGAACGGAUAUAAGUUUACUUAUAUUGUCAGCUAAGUGGCGCACGGGUGAGUAAUAUAUAGUUAAUCUGCCCUGAAGAAGAGAAUAAUUGUUGGAAACGACUUGUAAUGCUCUAUAUGCCUUUAUCACAUAAGUGAGCAAGGGAAAUAUUUAUAGCUUCGGGAUGAGACUGUACGGUAUCAGCUAGUUGGUGAGGUAAUGGCUCACCAAGGCUAUGACAUCUAACUGGUUUGAGAGGAUGAUCAGUCACACUGGAACUGAGACACGGUCCAGACUCCUACGGGAGGCAGCAGUGGGGAAUAUUGCACAAUGGAGGAAACUCUGAUGCAGCAACGCCGCGUGGAGGAUGACACAUUUCGGUGCGUAAACUCCUUUUAUUAGGGAAGAUAAUGACGGUACCUAAUGAAUAAGCACCGGCUAACUCCGUGCCAGCAGCCGCGGUAAUACGGGGGGUGCAAGCGUUACUCGGAAUCACUGGGCGUAAAGAGCAUGUAGGCUGAUUAGUAAGUUGGAAGUGAAAUCCUAUGGCUCAA